AAUGGGAAACGCAAAGUGCAUUGGAUGUCGUGGGAGGACAUGACGAAACCAAAACGAGCGGGAGGAAUCGGCUUCAGGGACAUGCAUUUGUUUAACAUUGCCCUUCUAGCCAAACAAGGAUGGAGGCUACUUCAAAAUCCAGACAACCUUUGUGCCCGUGUUUUGAAAUCUAAGUACUACCCGAAUGGGAACCUUCUGGACACUGUUUGUGUCGGAUGCGUCACCGGUUUGGAGGGGCAUAGAGGCUGGCCUAGAACUGCUUAA
rnacentral:rRNA from 1 species